rnacentral:rRNA from 1 species
CCUACGGGAGGCAGCAGUGGGGAAUAUUGCACAAUGGGCGCAAGCCUGAUGCAGCGACGCCGCGUGAGGGAUGACGGCCUUCGGGUUGUAAACCUCUUUCAGCAGGGACGAAGCGCAAGUGACGGUACCUGCAGAAGAAGCACCGGCCAACUACGUGCCAGCAGCCGCGGUAAUACGUAGGGUGCAAGCGUUGUCCGGAAUUACUGGGCGUAAAGAGCUCGUAGGCGGUUUGUCGCGUCGUCUGUGAAAACCAGCAGCUCAACUGUUGGCUUGCAGGCGAUACGGGCAGACUUGAGUAUUUCAGGGGAGACUGGAAUUCCUGGUGUAGCGGUGAAAUGCGCAGAUAUCAGGAGGAACACCGGUGGCGAAGGCGGGUCUCUGGGAAAUAACUGACGCUGAGGAGCGAAAGCGUGGGUAGCGAACAGGAUUAGAUACCCUGGUAGUCCACGCCGUAAACGGUGGGCGCUAGGUGUGGGUUUCCUUCCACGGGAUCCGUGCCGUAGCUAACGCAUUAAGCGCCCCGCCUGGGGAGUACGGCCGCAAGGCUAAAACUUAAAGGAAUUGACGG